AACCAGAGGGGGAGUGGGAGUAGAAUGUCCCAGCAAGCAGGCUGGAUGAGUCACGUGCUAGCCAUGCCAACGCCCGGUUUAGCGAAGGGGUAGCAUCAGAGCGUGUGAAUAUAAGGCAACUGGCAGUUGGAACAGAGUUCCUUUCAGUAACUGGCUGGACACCUGGAAGACACCUAAGAACUUAUGAAACAACAUUGCUCUGUGUCUAAGAGAAGAAAGAAAGAAAGAAAGAAAGAGAAAGAAAGAAGAAAGAGAAAGAAAGAAAGAAGAGAGAGAGGAAGAAAGAAAGAAAAAAGAAAGAAAAAAAAGAAAGAAGAAAGAAAGAAGAGAGAGAAAGAAAGAAAAAAGAAAGAAAGAAGAGAGAGAGAAAGAAAGAAAGAAAGAAGAGAGAGAGAAAGAAAAAAGAAAGAAAGAAAGAAAGAAAGAAAGAAAGAAAGAAAGAAGAGAGAGAGAAAGAAAGAAGAGAGAGAGAGAGAGAAAGAAAGGAAGGAAGGAAGGAAAGAAAGAAAGAAAGACUUCUAAAAGAGACAUUUUCAAUAUUUCUUACAAACACAAAGUAAGAGGAAAACUAAUUUAAAUAAGUAACUAUACAUCAAAAUGAAGCCAAUCAUUUCAAGGAUAUUAGGGCAAUCCUCAGUUUUCUUCAAAAGAAAUUGACAUUUCGAAACUAACAGAAGAGGCUUUCAGAGAGAACCCAAUGAAACACAUGGAAGGAUAAAGAAGCUUGUUAAAUCUUU